rnacentral:rRNA from 1 species
AGAACGAACGCUGGCGGCAUGCCUAAUACAUGCAAGUCGAACGAACACUUCGGUGUUAGUGGCGCACGGGUGCGUAACGCGUGGGAAUCUGCCCUUGGGUUCGGAAUAACAGUUGGAAACGACUGCUAAUACCGGAUGAUAUCGAAAGAUCAAAGAUUUAUCGCCCAGGGAUGAGCCCGCGUAGGA